UACGUAGGGGGCGAGCGUUGUCCGGAUUUAUUGGGCGUAAAAGGCUUGUAGGUGGCCACGUCAAGUCGGAUGUGAAAUCUCCCGGCUCAACUGGGAGGGGUCAUUCGAUACUGGCGGGCUCGAGGCCGGUAGGGGGAAGCGGAAUUCCCGGUGUAGUGGUGGAAUGCGUAGAUAUCGGGAGGAACACCAGUGGCGAAGGCGGCUCCUG
rnacentral:rRNA from 1 species